UUUAUUGGAGAGUUUGAUCCUGGCUCAGGAUGAACGCUGGCGGCGUGCCUAAUACAUGCAAGUCGAGCGAAUGGAUUAAGAGCUUGCUCUUAUGAAGUUAGCGGCGGACGGGUGAGUAACACGUGGGUAACCUGCCCAUAAGAUUGGGAUAACUCCGGGAAACCGGGGCUAAUACCGGAUAAUAUUUUGAACCGCAUGGUUCGGAAUUAAAAGGCGGCUUCGGCUGUUAC
rnacentral:rRNA from 1 species